ACCAAUUGCAGUUUUGCAAUGUACAUGUCUAACGUUUCACCGUUCGUCUUAUUUGAAUUUUUUAUGAUUAGUAUUUUUAUUGCUAUUAGAUGAUAAAACAUAAAUAGUAAUUCAUGUGUGACUAUUUUUUUUAAUUUUUUCAUAAAUUUUUUAAAUAAGAUGGAUGAUUAAAUGUUGAACACAGAUAUCCACAUCUGCACUUAAA
rfam:Oryza punctata chromosome 2, whole genome shotgun sequence.